GACCACAUUACGUUGAAACACAGGUUCCCGUACGAUCACCGAACUUAAGCAACGUCGAGCAUGGUCAGUACCUAAAUGGCUGACCACUUAGGAAUACAAGGUGCUGCAAG